rnacentral:rRNA from 1 species
UACGUAGGGUGCAGGCGUUAAUCGGAAUUACUGGGCGUAAAGCGUGCGCAGGCGGUUUUGUAAGUCAGAUGUGAAAUCCCCGGGCUUAACCUGGGAACUGCGUUUGAAACUACAAGGCUAGAGUGUGGCAGAGGGGGGUGGAAUUCCACGUGUAGCAGUGAAAUGCGUAGAGAUGUGGAGGAACACCGAUGGCGAAGGCAGCCCCCUGGGUUAACACUGACGCUCAGGCACGAAAGCGUGGGGAGCAAACAGG